rnacentral:rRNA from 1 species
UACGGAGGGUGCAAGCGUUAAUCAGAAUUACUGGGCGUAAAGCGUGCGCAGGCGGUUUGUUAAGUCCGUUGUGAAAGCCCCGAGCUCAACUUGGGAAUUGCAGUGGAUACUGGCAGGCUGGAGUACGGUAGAGGAAGGUGGAAUUCCCGGUGUAGCAGUGAAAUGCGUAGAGAUCGGGAGGAACACCAGUGGCGAAGGCGGCCUUCUGGACCAGUACUGACGCUCAUGCACGAAAGCGUGGGGAGCAAACAGG